AUGGCCUCCGCCCGCCUCGUAGCCCUCGCGGCAUUGGCAGUCGUGUGCCGCUCUCUGUUGGGCCUGGCCUCCGCGGCGGACGACGGAGAAGUGCGGGCGCUGCUGGAGCUCAAGGCGGCGCUGGACCCGACGGGGCGCCUGCUGCCGUCGUGGGCGCCCGGGCGGGACCCUUGCGCCCGGGGCGGGUUCGAGGGCGUCGCGUGCGACGGCAGCGGCGCCGUCGCCAACGUCUCGCUGCAGGGGAAGGGCCUGGCCGGGACGCUCUCCCCGGCCGUUGCCGGCCUCCGCGCGCUCACCGGCCUGUACCUCCACUACAACGCGCUCCGCGGCGGCGUGCCCCGGGAGCUCGGCAGGCUCACACGGCUCACCGAUUUCUACCUCAACGUCAACAACUUGUCCGGGCCCAUCCCGGCCGAGAUCGGCGCCAUGGCCUCGCUGCAAGUGCUGCAGCUGUGCUACAAUCAGCUGACCGGGAGCAUCCCCACGCAGCUGGGGCUACCGAACAGGCUCACCGUGUUGGCUCUGCAGUCCAACCACCUGAACGGCGCCAUCCCUGCCAGCCUCGGCGACCUGCCGGAGCUGAGGCGGCUGGACUUGAGCUUCAACCACCUCUUCGGCUCCAUCCCAGUGAGGCUGGCCAGGCUGCCUCAGCUCGCCGCUCUCGAUGUUAGGAACAACUCGCUCACCGGCAGCGUGCCCUCCGAACUGGCCAAGCUGGAGGGUGGAUUCCAGUACGGGAACAACAGUGAUCUGUGCGGCACCGGGCUCCCCGAUCUCCGUCCGUGCACUCCGGCGGACCUCAUCGACCCCGACAGGCCCCAGCCGUUCAGCGCUGGUAUCGCGCCGCAGAUCACGCCGGACGGGGCCCGCGGGCAUUGCAGCGGCACCCACUGCCCCCCUUCCACCAAGGCGCUGGCGGCCGUCGUCGUUGUCGCGGUGAUCCUUCUGGCGGCGACAGCGGCCGGUCUCUUGGCCUUGUCGUGGCACAGGUGGCGCAAGCAGAGGACGGCCGCAGGCGCACCUCCGAUGACCACCGUGGGCGGCCGGUGCAGCACAGAGGGCGAGGAGAGCAAGGAAUCGUUCCGCAAGAGCGCGUCGUCAACGCUGGUGAGUCUGGAGUACUCCAACGGCUGGGACCCGCUGGCCGACGGGCGGAGCGGCGUGGGGUUCUCGCAGGAGGUGUCCCCGAGCCUCCGGUUCAACAUGGAGGAGGUGGAGUCGGCGACGCAGUACUUCUCGGAGCUGAAUCUCCUGGGAAAGAAAAACUCCAAGUCCAAGGGUGGCGCCGGAAGCAGCUUCGCGGCCACGUACAGGGGCACGCUGCGCGACGGCACGCCCGUCGUGGUCACCCGGCUGGGCAAGACCUGCUGCAAGCAGGAGGAGGCGGAGUUCCUCAAGGGCCUCAAGCUGCUCGCCGAGCUCCAGCACGACAACAUCGUGGGGCUGAGGGGGUUCUGCUGCUCCAGGGCCAGGGGAGAGUGCUUCCUGGUGCACGACUUCGUGCCCAACGGGAGCCUGUCGCACUUCUUGGACGUUGCAGGAGAAGACGGCGGCGGCGGUGCUCUCGGGCAUGGCGGCCGCGUCCUUGAGUGGUCCACGAGGGUGUCCAUCAUCAAGGGCAUUGCUAAAGGAAUUGGAUAUCUGCACAGUACUAGAGCAAACAAGCCCCCUUUGGUUCACCAAAACAUAUCGGCGGACAAAGUUCUGGUGGAUUACACCUACAAGCCCCUGAUUUCUGGUUCCGGCCUGCACAAGCUCCUUGUGGACGACCUGGUCUUCUCGACCCUCAAGGCGAGCGCCGCCAUGGGGUACCUUGCCCCUGAGUACACCACCGUCGGCCGGUUCUCGGAGAAGAGCGAUGUUUACGCUUUCGGGGUAAUUGUGUUUCAGAUACUGACGGGUAAAAGUAAAACGAUGCAGCUGCCCUUCGAGUCAGGAAACGUCCAUGACCUCAUCGAUGGCAACAUGAAAGGAUGUUACUCGGCAACAGAAGCGGCUAAACUGGCAAAGAUUGCAUUGGUCUGCACGAGUGAAAACCCUGAGCAAAGACCCAACAUGGAAGAGCUGCUUCAAGAAUUGGACACCUUGUAA
rnacentral:rRNA from 1 species